rnacentral:ncRNA from 1 species
AGAAUAGAAAAUUGGGGUCUAGGGCAGGGCGUAGGAGUUGAAAAUCAGCAUAGAUCCAGAGAUUCCCGAAUUGGGAAACCUUUCUAACUGCUACUGAAUCUAUGGGUAGGCAAGAGAUAACCAGGUAAACUGAAAAUCCUUAGCAGCCAGAGGAAAAUAAAGAAAAAGUGAUUCUCGUAGUAGCGGUGGGUAAAAUGGGAGCUGCCUAAAGAUUUUU